UGCAGAGGGUGCAAGCGUUAAUCGGAAUUACUGGGCGUAAAGCGAGCGUAGUCGGUUAUUUAAGUCGGAUGUGAAAUCCCCGGGCUCAACCUGGGAAUUGCAUUCGAUACUGGAUAGCUAGAGUUCGGCAGAGGGAAGCGGAAUUUCGGGUGUAGCGGUGAAAUGCGUAGAGAUCGGGAAGAACAUCAGUGGCGAAGGCGGCCUGCUGGGCUGUUGCUGACGCUGAGGCGCGACAGCUAGGGGAGCGAAUGGG
rnacentral:rRNA from 1 species